UGGGGAAUAUUGCACAAUGGAGGGAACUCUGAUGCAGCGACGCCGCGUGAGUGAUGAAGGAAUUCGUUUCGUAAAACUCUGUUCUAUGGGAAGAAAAGGACUGUACCAUAGGAGAAAGCUCCGGCUAAAUACGUGCCAGCAGCCGCGGUAAUACGUAUGGAGCGAGCGUUGUCCGGAAUUAUUGGGCGUAAAGGGUGCGCAGGCGGCUUUACAAGUUGGAUGUGAAAUAUUGUGGCUCAACCACAAACGUGCAUCCAAAACUGCAAAGCUUGAGUUAAGGGGAGGUAAGUGGAAUUCCUGGUGUAGCGGGGGAAUGCGUAGAUAUCAGGAGGAAUACCGGUGGCGAAGGCGACUUACUGGACUUAAACUGACGCUCAGGCACGAAAGCGUGGGGAGCAAACAGG
rnacentral:rRNA from 1 species